rnacentral:rRNA from 2 species
UACGGAGGGUGCAAGCGUUAUCCGGAUUCACUGGGUUUAAAGGGUGCGUAGGUGGGUUGGUAAGUCAGUGGUGAAAUCUCCGAGCUUAACUUGGAAACUGCCAUUGAUACUAUCAGUCUUGAAUACCGUGGAGAUGAGCGGAAUAUGUCAUGUAGCGGUGAAAUGCUUAGAUAUGACAUAGAACACCAAUUGCGAAGGCAGCUCGUUACACGAAUAUUGACACUCAGGCACGAAAGCGUGGGGAUCAAACAGG